rnacentral:rRNA from 1 species
CCUACGGGUGGCAGCAGUGGGGAAUAUUGGACAAUGGGGGGAACCCUGAUCCAGCGACGCCGCGUGAGUGAAGAAGUAUUUCGGUAUGUAAAGCUCUAUCAGCAGGGAAGAAAGAAAUGACGGUACCUGACUAAGAAGCCCCGGCUAACUACGUGCCAGCAGCCGCGGUAAUACGUAGGGGGCAAGCGUUAUCCGGAUUUACUGGGUGUAAAGGGGGCGUAGACGGCGAUGCAAGUCUGAAGUGAAAGGCGGGGGCCCAACCUCCGGACUGCUUUGGAAACUGUAUGGCUGGAGUGAAGGAGAGGUAAGUGGAAUUCCUAGUGUAGCGGUGAAAUGCGUAGAUAUUAGGAGGAACACCAGUGGCGAAGGCGGCUUACUGGACUGUAACUGACGUUGAGGCUCGAAAGCGUGGGGAGCAAACAGGAUUAGAUACCCCGGUAGUC